CAAUAAGCGGAGGAAAAGAAACCAACAGGGAUUGCCCUAGUAACGGCGAGUGAAGCGGCAACAGCUCAAAUUUGAAAUCUGGCGUCUUCGGCGUCCGAGUUGUAAUUUGCAGAGGGCGCUUUGGCAUUGGCAGCGGUCCAAGUUCCUUGGAACAGGACGUCACAGAGGGUGAGAAUCCCGUACGUGGUCGCUAGCCUUUACCGUGUAAAGCCCCUUCGACGAGUCGAGUUGUUUGGGAAUGCAGCUCUAAAUGGGAGGUAAAUUUCUUCUAAAGCUAAAUACUGGCCAGAGACCGAUAGCGCACAAGUAGAGUGAUCGAAAGA
rnacentral:rRNA from 2 species